rnacentral:lncRNA from 1 species
GACUUAUAAAUGAAGUAUCGAAUUAACUUGUAACAUACUCUUGAUUAUUGCUUGUUAAUCAUCAAAAUAACACUAUCAUCCUCAAUCUCCCCCUUUUUGAUGAUUACAAAAUAUAGAGUAUGAGCCUAUUGAUACUUAUUUUAAAAUCAGUUUUAAAAGGGCUCAAGUUGCUGAAUUUCAGCUUUUCAAAUAUGAGAGUGAAGUCUCCCCCU